CUCAUGGAGAGUUUGAUCCUGGCUCAGGAUGAAUGUUGACAUCAUGCUUGACACAUGCAAUUCAGAUGGGAAGUGGUGUUUCCAGUGGUGGAUGGGUGAGUAACAUGUAAGAACCUACCCUUGGGAGGAGAACAACAACUGGAAACCAUUGCUAAUACCCCACAAGCUAAGGAGAAAAAGGAGAAAUCCGCCCAAGGAGGGGCUCACAUUUGAUUAGUUAGUUGGUGAGGCAAUGAAUUACCAAGGUGACGAUUAGUGGCUGGUCCGAGAGGAUGAUCAACCACACUGGGAUUGAGACAAGGCCCAGACUCCUACAUGAGAUAGCAAUGGGGAAUUUUCUGCAAUGGGAAAAAUCUUGACAAAGCAAUGCCGCGUGAAGGCAGAAGGCCCAUGGGUCAUGAACUUCUUUUCUCGGAGAAGAAGCAAUGGCGAUAUCUGAGGAAUAAGCAUCAACUAAUUCUGUACCAGCAGCCGCGGUAAGAUAGAGGAUGAAAGCGUUAUCCGAAAUGAUUGGGUGUAAAGCGUCUGUAGGUGGCUUUUCAAAUCUGUUGUCAAAUCCCAGGGCUCAACCCUAGACAAGUGGUGGAAACUACCAAGCUGGAGUACAGUAGGGGUAGAGGUAAUUUCUGGGGGAGCAAUGAAAUGCGUUGAGAUCGAAAAUAACACCAACGAAGAAAGCACUUUGUUGGACCAACACUGACACUAAGAGACAAAAUCUAGGGGAGCAAAUGGGAUUAGCUACCCCAGUAUUCCUAGCUGUAAAUGAUGUAUACUAAGUGUUGUGUGUAUCGACCCGCGUAGUGCUGUAGCUAACACGUUAAGUACCCCGCCUGGGGAGUAUGUUCGCAAGAAUGAAGCUCAAAGGAAUUGAUGGGGGCCCGCACAAGCAGUGGAGCAUUGUUAAUAUUAUGGUAGCUUCGGGAGGUAUGAACCUCUAUGAUGACCUAUGAC
rnacentral:ncRNA from 1 species